GGGUUGUGAGGUUAAGCGACUAAGCGUACACGGUGGAUGCCCUGGCAGUCAGAGGCGAUGAAGGGCGUGCUAAUCUGCGAUAAGCGCCGGUAAGGUGAUAUGAACCGUUAUAACCGGCGAUACCCGAAUGGGGAAACCCAGUGUGAUUCGUCACACUAUCAUUAACUGAAUCCAUAGGUUAAUGAGGCGAACCGGGGGAACUGAAACAUCUAAGUACCCCGAGGAAAAGAAAUCAACCGAGAUUCCCCCAGUAGCGGCGAGCGAACGGGGAGGAGCCCAGAGCCUGAAUCAGCAUGUGUGUUAGUGGAAGCGUCUGGAAAGGCGCGCGAUACAGGGUGACAGCCCCGUACACAAAAGCGCAUGUGCUGUGAGCUCGAUGAGUAGGGCGGGACACGUGGUAUCCUGUCUGAAUAUGGGGGGACCAUCCUCCAAGGCUAAAUACUCCUGACUGACCGAUAGUGAACCAGUACCGUGAGGGAAAGGCGAAAAGAACCCCGGCGAGGGGAGUGAAAAAGAACCUGAAACCGUGUACGUACAAGCAGUGGGAGCACCCUUUUGGGUGUGACUGCGUACCUUUUGUAUAAUGGGUCAGCGACUUAUAUUCUGUAGCAAGGUUAACCGUAUAGGGGAGCCGGAGGGAAACCGAGUCUUAAUUGGGCGUUAAGUUGCAGGGUAUAGACCCGAAACCCGGUGAUCUAGCCAUGGGCAGGUUGAAGGUUGGGUAACACUAACUGGAGGACCGAACCGACUAAUGUUGAAAAAUUAGCGGAUGACCUGUGGCUGGGGGUGAAAGGCCAAUCAAACCGGGAGAUAGCUGGUUCUCCCCGAAAGCUAUUUAGGUAGCGCCUCGUGAAUUCAUCUCCGGGGGUAGAGCACUGUUUCGGCUAGGGGGCCAUCCCGGCUUACCAACCCGAUGCAAACUGCGAAUACCGGAGAAUGUUAUCACGGGAGACACACGGCGGGUGCUAACGUCCGUCGUGAAGAGGGAAACAACCCAGACCGCCAGCUAAGGUCCCAAAGUCAUGGUUAAGUGGGAAACGAUGUGGGAAGGCCCAGACAGCCAGGAUGUUGGCUUAGAAGCAGCCAUCAUUUAAAGAAAGCGUAAUAGCUCACUGGUCGAGUCGGCCUGCGCGGAAGAUGUAACGGGGCUAAACCAUGCACCGAAGCUGCGGCAGCGACGCUUAUGCGUUGUUGGGUAGGGGAGCGUUCUGUAAGCCUGCGAAGGUGGCCUGUGAGGGUUGCUGGAGGUAUCAGAAGUGCGAAUGCUGACAUAAGUAACGAUAAAGCGGGUGAAAAGCCCGCUCGCCGGAAGACCAAGGGUUCCUGUCCAACGUUAAUCGGGGCAGGGUGAGUCGACCCCUAAGGCGAGGCCGAAAGGCGUAGUCGAUGGGAAACGGGUUAAUAUUCCCGUACUUGGUGUUACUGCGAAGGGGGGACGGAGAAGGCUAUGUUGGCCGGGCGACGGUUGUCCCGGUUUAAGCGUGUAGGUGUGUGUUCCAGGUAAAUCCGGUUCACUUUAACACUGAGGCGUGACGACGAGGCACUACGGUGCUGAAGCAACAAAUGCCCUGCUUCCAGGAAAAGCCUCUAAGCAUCAGGUAACAUCAAAUCGUACCCCAAACCGACACAGGUGGUCAGGUAGAGAAUACCAAGGCGCUUGAGAGAACUCGGGUGAAGGAACUAGGCAAAAUGGUGCCGUAACUUCGGGAGAAGGCACGCUGACACGUAGGUGAAGUGAUUUACUCAUGGAGCUGAAGUCAGUCGAAGAUACCAGCUGGCUGCAACUGUUUAUUAAAAACACAGCACUGUGCAAACACGAAAGUGGACGUAUACGGUGUGACGCCUGCCCGGUGCCGGAAGGUUAAUUGAUGGGGUCAGCGCAAGCGAAGCUCCUGAUCGAAGCCCCGGUAAACGGCGGCCGUAACUAUAACGGUCCUAAGGUAGCGAAAUUCCUUGUCGGGUAAGUUCCGACCUGCACGAAUGGCGUAAUGAUGGCCAGGCUGUCUCCACCCGAGACUCAGUGAAAUUGAACUCGCUGUGAAGAUGCAGUGUACCCGCGGCAAGACGGAAAGACCCCGUGAACCUUUACUAUAGCUUGACACUGAACAUUGAGCCUUGAUGUGUAGGAUAGGUGGGAGGCUUUGAAGCGUGGACGCCAGUCUGCGUGGAGCCGACCUUGAAAUACCACCCUUUAAUGUUUGAUGUUCUAACGUGGACCCGUGAUCCGGGUUGCGGACAGUGUCUGGUGGGUAGUUUGACUGGGGCGGUCUCCUCCUAAAGAGUAACGGAGGAGCACGAAGGUUGGCUAAUCCUGGUCGGACAUCAGGAGGUUAGUGCAAUGGCAUAAGCCAGCUUGACUGCGAGCGUGACGGCGCGAGCAGGUGCGAAAGCAGGUCAUAGUGAUCCGGUGGUUCUGAAUGGAAGGGCCAUCGCUCAACGGAUAAAAGGUACUCCGGGGAUAACAGGCUGAUACCGCCCAAGAGUUCAUAUCGACGGCGGUGUUUGGCACCUCGAUGUCGGCUCAUCACAUCCUGGGGCUGAAGUAGGUCCCAAGGGUAUGGCUGUUCGCCAUUUAAAGUGGUACGCGAGCUGGGUUUAGAACGUCGUGAGACAGUUCGGUCCCUAUCUGCCGUGGGCGCUGGAGAACUGAGGGGGGCUGCUCCUAGUACGAGAGGACCGGAGUGGACGCAUCACUGGUGUUCGGGUUGUCAUGCCAAUGGCACUGCCCGGUAGCUAAAUGCGGAAGAGAUAAGUGCUGAAAGCAUCUAAGCACGAAACUUGCCCCGAGAUGAGUUCUCCCUGAGACUUAGAGUCUCCUGAAGGAACGUUGAAGACGACGACGUUGAUAGGCCGGGUGUGUAAGCGCAGCGAUGCGUUGAGCUAACCGGUACUAAUGAACCGUGAGGCUUAACCUUACAACGCCGAAG
rnacentral:rRNA from 1 species